UACGUAGGGGGCGAGCGUUGUCCGGAAUCAUUGGGCGUAGAGAGCGUGUAGGCGGGCCGGAAGGUCUGGUGUGAAAGCCCGGGGCUCAACCCCGGAGGGUCACUGGAAACCAACGGCCUUGAGUCCGGAAGAGGAGAGUGGAAUUCCUGGUGUAGCGGUGGAAUGCGCAGAUAUCAGGAAGAACACCGAUGGCGAAGGCAGUUCUCUGGGACGGUACUGACGCUGAGACGCGAAAGCGUGGGGAGCAAACAGG
rnacentral:rRNA from 1 species